rnacentral:lncRNA from 1 species
CUUUUUGUUUUUUCAAAUUUCUUCUCAGUUAAGCUACUGCUGGGACUUCAGACUACCAUUUUGUUACAUCUGACUUUUGUGCCAUGGAUUCAAACUAUGCUACUCACUUGUAGAGAUGAUGAAUAAGGAGUUGCUUGAAUGUGUAUGUGUGAGCAGGGCGAGAUGGCAGGAGACUUAAUUUGCUUUCCUCUUAACUGAAAAUCAAGUGAAAAUGUUACUCUUUAGGGACAAUGUCACAGGUCAAUGUCACUAGAAACAAUGUAUCUAUUUUUCAUUCAUAAUUGAGGAGGCCAUUGACUAUAAGUAAAUUGAAAUAUUGUUUUUAAGGCCAUUACUAAGCCAUUACUAUUAACCUGACUGGAACCAGAUUUAAACAGUUAUAUCAAUUUACAUAUUUAAAUAAGCAAAUAUCCUUCCCCAGGACUGCUCUUUCCACUAAUUCUACCCAACUUUCUGAAUAUUUAGGAGCACUGAGCAGAUGAAAAGGUAUCUACUGGAAGCUAGUUAUGCAGUAAGUGUUUUAACCAAGAAGAGUGUGAGUAGCUAUAGAAUUCCAAGACCUGAGCUCCCCUACUUCCUUAGAGGCUUGCUCCCCACCACACAUUCCUGUACUACCACCACCACCACCACAACUCUCUGGAACCAUCAACAUUCAGAGUAGAAGUUAGGUUGAACCUUGUUAGUGCUUCUAUUCCUGUAGGAUAUAGACUUGCUUCCCCAAUCGUUGCCUUCUGCUCAAACCUCAGCUAUGUUCUUCUGUCUAUAUAGAAGUUGUUUGAGUAACGUUUCAAUGGGUCCUAAGUUGAGGAAGGACUGAUUUCCUCUUGACUGUUUUUUAAUCUGGGUGUUUGUAAUUGUGUAAGUCUUUAAACAUGCUUACUCUGCUUAGAGAACACUCUGUAGCUGAAAGUUCCAGGAAACCUUUGUAUCUACAGCAAUUUGAAAAAAGGAAAGGAAUCAUUUGAACAUCCAGACUUUUACCCCAGAUUUUCUGAAACCAAUGUAUAAAUUACAGACAACAGAUUCCAGUGUUGUGUGGAACCCUGUUGAGGAACUUGGCAUUGUGUCAAAGUCCAGUACUAUUUACAGUUAGGAAUUGGGGAGGGCAGUGAUCAGUGCUUGACAGAUUCUGAAAGUCACUUCCAUUAGGUUGACUUUCUCUUUUUUAGGGGGUUGUGUUAAGGAUUUUUUAAAAUCUUUUUUUCAAAAACAGAGAAGUGAAAAUAUUGGGUGCACAUUUAUUAUUUAAGGGUACUGAUAGGAAAAUAUGCAUGUAUCGAAAGAUGUCUCUGGAGAAUAAAUACCUACAAGUCAGGGAACUAAGUCACACACAUUAUCAGUAACUUAAAAGGUAA